GAACGUGUAACGGAGACUGAGAGGAUGCAGACACGUCUCUGGAAGGGGUCUGAUGAUGCAGCUGCAAAAUCUCAGAGUGGCCCGAAGGGGCUGGCUGACAUUCCUCAGUGCUGAAGGGGCUGCCUUGGCCCGGAGACACUCUUCCAGUACUGAGCCGGAGCUUUGGAAACCGUUGCCAGGUCGUCCAGCCCUCUCUGGCUGUCUCUAGCACCAUCCCACCUACUCUUGCAUAACUUUUUAAACUUCAAAUGCUGAGACAACCCGACAGGUCGUUUGCCUCUCUCCCUGCUCCCCUAUAUAUAUGUUCCCGAAAUCUAACAUGUGGGACACAGCUUGCCCGCCUAGAAAUGCAUUAUGCCCCUUUUGUGCCGCACUUGGCUUAUAGACUAUGCAUGAUUACCCGCAAAGAUAAACUCCACCGAGUGCAAUUGGACUUUCUUCCAAGAAGUGCGUUGUGCUGCAGCCUAGCUAACGGAGGUGUUAAGCUUUGUAAUGGAGAUUUGCAAAGGUGAACGUUACCGUGGAAGCCAGAAUCCAAACCGAAAUGAGGAAAUGUACUGAGAGGCGCAAUGCUAAAGAUCCUGGUGAAAGAUACAGAUGCUGUCAGAAUAUGAUCAAGCUCUUUCUUCCACAAACAUGAAGUCUUAAAUGAAAGCUAAGAUUUUCAGAAAAGUGGGGCCCUAGGAAGAAUCUAUAGCUCCGUUUAGGUGCUCACUAGUCCUUUAAGGCGCAGUGAUCUUGGAACCUACAAAGCCGGCUGUAGAGCACCUCCUUCUUCGGUUCCUGAAUCGGCCGCAGCAAAGGGAUUGAUGACAUUGAGAGAUAGAGAAGACAAGCCACAGCAGCACAGGACAAGGGAAAAGAGGAGCAGAUCCUUCCCGAGGCAACGCAAGCAGCGGACAAGAAGGAGCUAAAGAGGAAGGUGCUCUACAGCCGGCUUUGUAGGCUUCGAUAUCACUACAACUUAAAGGGCCAGUAAGCACCUAAACGGAGCUAUACAUUCUUCUGGGGGCCCCCUGCGCAGGCGCACAAGACCCAGUUGUGAAGGACCAUGGAUCCCUACAGAGAUACCCAAGUUGUAUGAACUCUUAAUAAAUGUAUUUAUUUCAU